rnacentral:lncRNA from 1 species
UGGGGCCUUGACCUGGUCACAAUUUUUUAAAGCAUAAACAAGGAAAAUAAUACAGUAAUAGACUUCAACAUGUUCAAGAAGGAUACUGGUAUUCUGUCUACGAUAGUAAUACACGUCUUUGCUGCCGACUAUAAAACUAAUGUUUAUGCAAAUAGGCUGAUAGAUCGAACUGGUGAUACAGGCUUUAUAUAGGCUUAUGCUAUUAACUUGGG